rfam:Lonchura striata domestica isolate white83orange57 scaffold_59, whole genome shotgun sequence.
UAAAUGGAUUUUUUUAAAUCCAUUAAAAAGUCUAGUAGAUUAUUU